GUUUUUAUAGUUUAAAUAAAAACUUUGGUCUUGUAAACCAAAAAUAAGAAUAUUCUUUAAAAACU
rnacentral:tRNA from 1 species